UGUUUACAAAUUACUGUGUUGGAGGUUAAAAUGAUCAAAGUGAUAACCUCCAUCCUAUCAUGUUUGAGGAGAAUUGGUUAUUUGGUUCACUAACGUUCUGUUUAAAGAAAAUUUCUGUAAAACUAGUAAAUGUUACCCCUCAUCUUUUGUAAGUUAAAAAAAAGUUUAAAAUAAUGUUUGCUCAUCAAAAGUGAUUUGAUACUUUUGUUCUGUUUAGGAAAACUUUAUUCUCAAGAGAUUUCUCAUUCCGCAGAAAUAAGGAUCUGGCAUGUCAACACAAACAUAGGAAGUUGAUGCAGUCAAAGGGAAAUAACUGCUACCCUGACUCUGCCGAGAGCCUCACAAGUCCCUGUGCACACCAGCUUAUUUGCCAGUGAGUGGCGUCAUGAUAAGACAAAAUUCUCUGCUCUGAGACCUAAGCACAUGAAGUUUUUAAAAAAAUUUUCUCUGGGAAGAGGAAGGGCAGGAAUAAAUAAAGGGCUUUCCUGUCUCCCGAGGGAGCAGAGAAAGCUUUCUCUGUCCUCUUUCUUCCCCAGCCACAGCCUGGGGUUGGGGGACUGGAAACAAGCUCAGGCUAGCACUUGAUGUUCAGACGGUAGUCUGAAAGUUUGACUAGGGAGUUAAUGAUCUGACCAGAGAGACAGGUU
rnacentral:lncRNA from 1 species